GACGAACCGUGCGAACGUUGUUCGGAAUCACUGGGCUUAAAGGGCGCGUAGGCGGCCUGCUAAGUCGAACGUGAAAUCCCUGGGCUCAACCCAGGAACUGCGUCCGAUACUGGUUGGCUUGAAUCCGGGAGAGGGAUGUGGAAUUCCCGGUGUAGCGGUGAAAUGCGCAGAUAUCGGGAGGAACACCGGUGGCGAAAGCGCUCAUCUGGCCCAAUACUGACGCUGAGGCGCGAAAGCUAGGGGAGCAAACGGG
rnacentral:rRNA from 1 species